rnacentral:lncRNA from 1 species
UCGUUGUGAGGGUUUAAUCUCGUGAAUUGUCGUAAAUGCUGUAUUAGUUAUUUACCUAGUUCGUGUGCAUCAUUUCCUAAAUUAGGAUAUUAGUCUUACCAAUAGGCUAAACUUCACCUCAUACACCUACAAUCAAAGUAGAUGCUAAUUCUCAGAUGAAUCUGAAUCAUGAAGCUUGUUAAUUCAAAAUACUGCAUGCUUAUAAUGUAAUUACAGUAGAUUGGCGUAAGGAUUGGAUCCGGCACUGAAAGGACUUCAAGAAGUGGCUUAUUUUAUUAAUUAAAUCAAAUUA